rnacentral:rRNA from 1 species
UUUAUGGAGAGUUUGAUCCUGGCUCAGGAUGAACGCUGGCGGCGUGCCUAAUACAUGCAAGUCGAGCGAACGGACGAGAAGCUUGCUUCUCUGAUGUUAGCGGCGGACGGGUGAGUAACACGUGGAUAACCUACCUAUAAGACUGGGAUAACUUCGGGAAACCGUAGCUAAUACCGGAUAAUAUUUUGAAC